CCUAUUCUUUUUUUUUUAAUAAAUUAUAUUGUGAUUUUACAGAGUAAAAGGAGCCAGCUGGACUUUUGCUAGCAGCUACCCUCAGCCCACCUUACCGUCCUAUGAUCUCUGUCUUCCAGAUAAAAAGACCAUGUGAUUUACUGAAUAAUUUUAAGCUCACAGUGAUGGAAGCUCUACUCCAGGCAUGUGUAGCCAAGAAGAUAGGGUUCUCUUUCACUCCAGUUCUCUGAAAGACAAUGGAUUGUGGAGCAUACUGAAGACUAUUCCUAAAUGGCUAUUUGUGUUGGGUGGUCAAGGCUAUUCAGAAAAUCUCAGAGGAGGACAAAUGAUAGUGCACUGCAGCCAGCUCGGACUGGCUUGCAAGAGUCAGUUAUUCAUUUUUCAGGAAUUCCAUGUUGUUAAAUGCAGACAUUAUUAAAAUUUAAAUUAC
rnacentral:lncRNA from 1 species